rnacentral:lncRNA from 1 species
UAUGAAGGUCAUUGUUUACUUUAAUAAGAGCAGUUCAGGCAGGGCAUUUGAGAAAGAAACCUAAUGAAUGGAUACGGAGAGAAUUGAAGGAGAAGAAAUGUAUAUAAUGGGUGUAAUACAAGUUUGAGGAGUUUUACCAUAAUAAAGAAGAGAAGUUACCAGAAAUUGAAGCUGGAGUACAAUGGUUCCAUCUCUGCUCGCCUCGACCUCUGCUUCCUGGGUUCAAGCAAUUCUCCUGCCUCAGCCUCCCAAGUAGCUGGGAUUA